rnacentral:rRNA from 1 species
CCUACGGGCGGCAGCAGUGAGGAAUAUUGGACAAUGGCCGGAAGGCUGAACCAGCCAUGCCGCGUGAAUGUCAGUGCCCUAUGGGCGUUAAACUUCUUUUGUGCGGGAGCAAUAAUGGUCACGUGUGGCCAGACGAGAGUACCGUACGAAUAAGCAUCGGCUAACUCCGUGACAGCAGCCGCGGUAAUACGGGGGAUGCAAGCGUUAUCCGGAUUUAUUGGGUUUAAAGGGUGCGUAGGCUGUGAGGUAAGUCAGCGGUGAAAUGCCCCCGCUCAACGGGGUGAAGUGCCAUUGAUACUGCGUGGCUGGAAUGCGGAUGCGGUGGGAGGAAGGUGUGGUGUAGCGGUGAAAUGCAUAGAUAUCACACAGAACACCGAUUGCGAAGGCAUCUCACGAAUCCGCGAUUGACGCUGAUGCACGAAAGCGUGGGUAGCAAACAGGAUUAGAUACCCGGGUAGUC